rnacentral:lncRNA from 1 species
AUUGCUUUGCUUUACUAUUGCUUGAAGAACGUUUGUUUUCCCCAUCCUUUCCUUGUUAACCAACAACCUAAGCCCCAUUACAACCCUUAACUUCUACCUUGAGUGUUAUGUGUUUCAAUUUGUGGAGUUUGAAUUUGGUAUGAGCAUAUGGUGUCACUGGUUCUCGCAUCUAAGUAGUAGCAUUCCAUUCAUGAGAUCAUAUCUAAACAUGCUUCUUAACUCUAGAAAUUGCGUUCUUUGUGAAACAUAUAUGUGAGCAUUCGUUUUUCAUAUCUACGUCAAUCUUCUCACAUAUGACUAGUGAUAGGGUGUGGAGUUAGAAAAUCUGAGUGAAAAUAGAGUGUAUAUCUUGUAAGGAAUUGAGGGAAUUCUCUAAGGCAUGUUACUACAUUCAAAGCAUUGUUUUAAUUGUUACUUGUGAACUAGUAAGUGGUGGCUUUAAUUAAGUAUGUGCUUGCGUAAAGAUGACUCAAAUCUGUGGGGAUAGCAAUCUUUAACAUGUCAUGUGCAUUGGAAAUCCCUGAGGCAAACGUGGAAGGUUUAGGUUUGUUUUGGUUAGUUUGUUUCGUUUCGUUUUCUUUCUUUUGUUUGUUUU